rnacentral:lncRNA from 12 species
GCGGGGCGGAGCCGCGGGCGGCGGAAGCCGGGCAGGGGGCGGGGCGAGGCCCGCGCGGUCGCCGUGGUUACCGCCCCCGCCGCGGCGGCCCCGGCUCGCUGCCAAUCAGGAUGCGCUCAUCUCUAAAGGUCAAGAAAGAGUAAGAAGCUGAAGAUAAAAACGAACCCUUUUAUUAGAAUGUAGAGCUACAAGACACAGACCACCUGAUGAAUUGCACCAUAUGCAACAUGGAUCCAUUUGAAAUACAUCAAUUUGCAAUCUUAAAAGUCAUAGGAGGUUAGAGGAGGUUCGAGGAUGAAGGGGCUGGAAGGCCGGGGAUGCACACCCAUGGAGUCCCUUGCCUUCAGAUAAGGAGGCUGAGCCUUUCAGUACACUGAACCUAACUCCCAUUCCCACCCGUGAAAAAAAUGUGUUUUCAUCCUUAUUUCUGUGCUUGAAAACCUAACACGACUCCUGGUUUGGACCUAAUGUACUAAAGACAAACUCUGGCCUCUGCAGUCUGA